rnacentral:rRNA from 1 species
UACAUAGGGUGCAAGCGUUACUCGGAUUUAUUGGGCGUAAAGAGCUCGUAGGCGGUUCAACAAGUCGGGUGUUAAACCCCCAGGCUUAACCUGGGGCCGCCACCCGAAACUGUUGUGACUUGAAUUUGGUAGGGGAUCACGGAAUUCCUGGUGUAGCGGUGGAAUGCGCAGAUAUCAGGAGGAACACCAACGGCGAAGGCAGUGAUCUGGGCCAAUAUUGACGCUGAGGAGCGAAAGCGUGGGGAGCGAACAGG